rnacentral:rRNA from 1 species
UUAUUUUGAUUCCCUGCUCAGGAUGAACGCUGGCGGCGUGCGUAAUACAUGCAAGUCGAGCGAACAGACGAGGAGCUUGCUCCUCUGACGUUAGCGGCGGACGGGUGAGUAACACGUGGAUAACCUACCUAUAAGACUGGGAUAACUUCGGGAAACCGGAGCUAAUACCGGAUAAUAUAUUGAACCGCAUGGUUCAAUAGUGAAAGACGGUUUUGCUGUCACUUAUAGAUGGAUCCGCGCCGCAUUAGCUAGUUGGUAAGGUAACGGCUUACCAAGGCAACGAUGCGUAGCCGACCUGAGAGGGUGAUCGGCCACACUGGAACUGAGACACGGUCCAGACUCCUACGGGAGGCAGCAGUAGGGAAUCUUCCGCAAUGGGCGAAAGCCUGACGGAGCAACGCCGCGUGAGUGAUGAAGGUCUUCGGAUCGUAAAACUCUGUUAUUAGGGAAGAACAAAUGUGUAAGUAACUAUGCACGUCUUGACGGUACCUAAUCAGAAAGCCACGGCUAACUACGUGCCAGCAGCCGCGGUAAUACGUAGGUGGCAAGCGUUAUCCGGAAUUAUUGGGCGUAAAGCGCGCGUAGGCGGUUUUUUAAGUCUGAUGUGAAAGCCCACGGCUCAACCGUGGAGGGUCAUUGGAAACUGGAAAACUUGAGUGCAGAAGAGGAAAGUGGAAUUCCAUGUGUAGCGGUGAAAUGCGCAGAGAUAUGGAGGAACACCAGUGGCGAAGGCGACUUUCUGGUCUGUAACUGACGCUGAUGUCGAUUAGCCUUUAUUG